ensembl:lncRNA
CUCUGGGCACCGCCCAACCUGUCAGGCCGCUGCAGGCUGAGAGAGCUGGUAGCCAGGUGGUACCAGGACGCUAGCCCGUGACAAGCCGUCACCAGCCACAGGAGAGGAACACGGCUGUGUGGUCUGGCUUCUCAGUGCGGCUGGGGAUAGUGCUCCCCACGACCACCACCGUCUGCUUCACGGCCACCUGGACACCCUCCGACGCGUCGCUGGGCCCGGCAGCUGAGCAGGUACUUUCACGCCUUGUCUGCUCCGGGGCCACCGUCUGCGGAAGCGUGCUGAGCUCCGGGCAGCAAUGGCCCCACCGCGUGCACUGCGCUGCCCCCUGUGCCGUAUCAACUGCCCCUGCCCAGGAGCCUCCUCCAGAUGUGACCCAGGGCGGCCCAGGCGGUCCUGCAUAGGCUUGUUCUCACUAUCACCGAGGGAGAAGAAGCAGGCAGUCAUUACGAACCCAUACUGUCAUUCGAAAACUCAAGCCUUGCAACAACCCCCCGACCAGGACCCUCAACCCGAGCAGGGCGGGCCCCGCCCCAACGUCGAUGCGUAUGCUCCCCAGGCCACCCCAGCCACGCCCCUGCCCGGCGCUUAGGCCAGCGCCCCGCCCCCUAGGAGAACCGGAAGCAGAAUCCUCGCGGGUCAAAGCUGUCGGCGCUUUUGAGACGCUACCGCCAGAGGGCGCUGGCGCCGCCUUUGUUGGCUCGCACCUCGCGAGUCACGUCAGCGGCCGGUCCCGGAAAUGGAGGGCUCUGCAGUACAAGAUGGCGGCUUCCUGUGUGGCGGACUUCAAAACCAUGCAAAAGAUCACACUGCAGAGUAACAUGUCAUCUCUGACCCCGUUUUUAAAACGAGACCAAAUCCCAGCAGACCAUCCGUCUGUGUACAGAUCAUCUGAGCACCGAGAAUCGUGAAAGCAGGCGCUAGUGUCCGGGAGCAGCAGCAGAGCGUGGGGAGAG